rnacentral:rRNA from 1 species
CAGUCGCCGCGGUAAUACGAAGGGUGCAAGCGUUACUCGGAAUUACUGGGCGUAAAGCGUGCGUAGGUGGUGGUUUAAGUCCGUUGUGAAAGCCCUGGGCUCAAUCUGGGAAUUGCAGUGGAUACUGGGUCACUAGAGUGUGGUAGAGGAUAGUGGAAUUUCCGGUGUAGCAGUGAAAUGCGUAGAGAUCGGAAGGAACAUCUGUGGCGAAGGCGACUAUCUGGGCCAACACUGACACUGAGGCACGAAAGCGUGGGGAGCGAACAGGAUUAGAUACCCCUGUAGUCCCUGUCUCUUAACC